GAUGAACGCUGGCGGCGUGCCUAAUACAUGCAAGUCGAGCGAACAGACGAGGAGCUUGCUCCUUUUACGUUAUCGUCGGACGGGUGAGUAACACGUGGGUAACCUACCUAUAAGACUGGGAUAACUUCGGUAAACCGGACCUCUUACCGGAUAAUAUUUCGAACCGCAUGGUUCGAUCUUGAAAGAUGGCUUUGCUAUUACUUAUACAUUGACCUGCGCCGUAUUAUCAAGUUGGUAAGGUAACGGCUUACCAAGGCAACGAUACGUAGCCGACCGGAUAGGGGGAUCGGCAACACGGGAACUGAGACACGGUCCAGACUCCUACGGAAGGCAGCAGGAGGGAAUCUUCCGAAAUGGGGGAAAGCCUGACGGAGAAAGGCCGCGUGAGGGAUGAAGGUCUUCGGAUCGAAAAACUCGGUUAUUAGGGAAGAAGAAACGUGUAAGUAACGGUGCACGACUUGACGGUACCUAAUCAGAAAGCCACGGCUAACUACGUG
rnacentral:rRNA from 1 species